UACGUAGGGUGCAAGCGUUGUCCGGAAUUAUUGGGCGUAAAGAGCUCGUAGGCGGUCUGUCGCGUCUGGUGUGAAAAUCCAGGGCUUAACCCUGGACCUGCAUCGGGUACGGGCAGACUAGAGUGCGGUAGGGGAGAUCGGAAUUCCUGGUGUAGCGGUGAAAUGCGCAGAUAUCAGGAGGAACACCAGCGGCGAAGGCGGCGCUCUGGGCCGGAACUGACGCUGAGGAGCGAAAGCGUGGGGAGCAAACAGG
rnacentral:rRNA from 1 species